GAUGAACGCUGGCGGCGUGCCUAAUACAUGCAAGUCGAGCGAACAGACGAGGAGCUUGCUCCUCUGACGUUAGCGGCGGACGGGUGAGUAACACGUGGAUAACCUACCUAUAAGACUAGGAUAACUUCGGGAAACCGGAGCUAAUACCGGAUAAUAUAUUGAACCGCAUGGUUCAAUAGUGAAAGACGGUUUUGCUGUCACUUAUAGAUUGAUCCGCGCCGCAUUAGCUAGUUGGUAAGGUAACGGCUUACCAAGGCAACGAUGCGUAGCCGACCUGAGAGGGUGAUCGGCCACACUGGAACUGAGACACGGUCCAGACUCCUACGGGAGGCAGCAGUAGGGAAUCUUCCGCAAUGGGCGAAAGCCUGACGGAGCAACGCCGCGUGAGUGAUGAAGGUCUUCGGAUCGUAAAACUCUGUUAUUAGGGAAGAACAAAUGUGUAAGUAACUAUGCACGUCUUGACGGUACCUAAUCAGAAAGCCAUGGCUAACUACGUGCCAGCAGCCGCCGUAACAC
rnacentral:rRNA from 1 species